rnacentral:rRNA from 1 species
CCUACGGGAGGCAGCAGUGGGGAAUAUUGCACAAUGGGGGAAACCCUGAUGCAGCGACGCCGCGUGAGUGAAGAAGUAAUUCGUUAUGUAAAGCUCUAUCAGCAGGGAAGAAAAUGACGGUACCUGAGUAAGAAGCCCCGGCUAACGACGUGCCAGCAGCCGCGGUAAUACGUAGGGGGCAAGCGUUAUCCGGAUUUACUGGGUGUAAAGGGAGCGUAGACGGCAGUGCAAGUCUGGAGUGAAAGGCUGGGGCUCAACCCCCGGACUGCUCUGGAAACGGUACGGCUGGAGUGCAGGAGAGGUAAGUGGAAUUCCUAGUGUAGCGGUGAAAUGCGUAGAUAUUAGGAGGAACACCAGUGGCGAAGGCGGCUUACUGGACUGUAACUGACGUUGAGGCUCGAAAGCGUGGGGAGCAAACAGGAUUAGAUACCCUUGUAGUC